ensembl:lincRNA
AGGAGUCUUAAAUAUUUUAAUUAGCUUAUUUUCUUUCUUUUUUCCAGCGUUACUGAGAUAUAAAGGACAUAAAACUUGGUAUAAGCUUGUGUACAACGUGAUGAUUUGAUACGUGAAUGUACUGUGAAACAAUCACCACAGGAAGGUCAGCUAACACAUCCAGCACCUGGCAUAUUUACUUUUGUAAGAACUUUAAUCUAACUCCUGUAGAAUGGUGGAUUUGGAACAGGCCUGCAUCUUGACAGGUCAGCAAGGUUUAAAAGAGCAACAAAAUACACCCUGAAAAUGAGUUCUAAGACCAGUGGGAACACCAGUGGCACCAGAUGAACUGAGCAGACCAAAAUAACACUACAACAGCUCUGCAGUUUAACUGGUCUUGGAUCCACAGCCCAUCAGAGUAGGCCAGGACCUAUCUGCCAAAACUAAUCAGGUGACUGCCAGCUAAAAUUAAAAAACAUUCUGAUAGGACUUGGAGUCUCCUAAAGUAACAUCCCAAAUGUCCAGGAUUCAACUGAAAAUGAUCCAUCAUACCAAUAACUAGAAAACUACAAACUGACUGAGAAAAGAAAAUAAACUGACAACAACACUGAGUUACAUCAGAUGUUAGAAUUAUCAGACAAGGAUUUUAAAGAAACCAUCAUAGAAUAAUGUAAUAAGUGAUUACAAAUUCUCCUCAGAUAAAGACUUCUUAAAUUUGGCAAAAGACAUAAAUCCAGAUUUGAAAAGCUGAAUGGAUCCCAAAUAGAACAAACACAAGUAAAUUUACACCCAGACACAUCAUAAAUAAAAUUUUGAAAACUAA